rnacentral:rRNA from 1 species
AGCAGCCGCGGUAAUUCCAGCUCCAAUAGCGUAUAUUAAAGUUGUUGCAGUUAAAAAGCUCGUAGUUGAAUUUCGGAAUCAAUAUAUCGGUCGUGCCUUGGUACGUACUGGUAUCAUUGGUUUCUCCUUUCUGACGAACCAUGAUGUCAUUAAUUUGGUGUUAUGGGAAGUUAGGACUGUUACUUUGAAAAAAUUAGAGUGUUUAAAGCAGGCUUUAGCUUGAAUACAUUAGCAUGGAAUAAUGAAAUAGGGCGUUCGAACCUAUUUUGUUGGUUUCUAGGAUCAACGUAAUGAUUAAUAGGGAUAGUUGGGGGCAUUAGUAUUCAAUUGUCAGAGGUGAAAUUCUUGGAUUUAUUGAAGACUAACUACUGCGAAAGCAUUUGCCAAGGAUGUUUUCAUUAAUCAAGAACGAAAGUUAGGGGAUCGAAGACGAUCAGAUACCGUCGUAGUCUUAACCAUAAACUAUGCCGACUAGGGAUCGGAUGAUGUUAAUUUUUUAAUGACUCA